GCUAAGAUUAAAGGUGUUCCAUGCCACUGU
rnacentral:piRNA from 1 species